UACGUAGGCAGCAAGCGUUGUUCGGAAUUACUGGGCGUAAAGAGUGUGUAGGCGGUGCUCUAAGUUUGGUGUGAAAUCUCCCGGCUUAACUGGGAGGGUGCGCCGAAAACUGGAAUGCUUGAACAUGGGAGAGGAAAGCGGAAUUCCUGGUGUAGCGGUGAAAUGCGUAGAUAUCAGGAGGAACACCUGCGGUGUAGACGGCUUUCUGGACCAUUGUUGACGCUGAGACACGAAAGCGUGGGUAGCAAACGGG
rnacentral:rRNA from 1 species